rnacentral:rRNA from 1 species
AUUGAACGCUGGCGGCAGGCCUAACACAUGCAAGUCGAACGAGUGGCGGACGGGUGAGUAAUGUCUGGGGAACUGCCUGAUGGAGGGGGAUAACUACUGGAAACGGUAGCUAAUACCGCAUACUAUCAGAUGAGCCCAGGUGGGAUUAGCUAGUAGGUGGGGUAAAGGCUCACCAAGGCGACGAUCCGUAACUGGUCUGAGAGGAUGACCAGUCACACUGGAACUGAGACACGGUCCAGACUCCUACGGGAGGCAGCAGUGGGGAAUAUUGCACAAUGGGCGCAAGCCUGAUGCAGCCAUGCCGCGUGUAUGAAGAAGGCCUUCGGGUUGUAAAGUACUUUCAGCGGGGAGGCGUUACCCGCAGAAGAAGCACCGGCUAACUCCGUGCCAGCAGCCGCGGUAAUAC